rnacentral:rRNA from 1 species
UUUAUGGAGAGUUUGAUCCUGGCUCAGGACGAACGCUGGCGGCGUGCCUAAUACAUGCAAGUCGAGCGAACAGAAAAGGAGCUUGCUCCUUUGACGUUAGCGGCGGACGGGUGAGUAACACGUGGGCAACCUACCUUAUAGUUUGGGAUAACUCCGGGAAACCGGGGCUAAUACCGAAUAAUCUAUUUUACUUCAUGGUGAAAUACUGAAAGACGGUUUCGGCUGUCGCUAUAAGAUGGGCCCGCGGCGCAUUAGCUAGUUGGUGAGGUAACGGCUCACCAAGGCGACGAUGCGUAGCCGACCUGAGAGGGUGAUCGGCCACACGGGGACUGAGACACGGCCCAGACUCCUACGGGAGGCAGCAGUAGGGAAUCUUCCACAAUGGGCGAAAGCCUGAUGGAGCAACGCCGCGUGAGUGAAGAAGGUUUUCGGAUCGUAAAACUCUGUUGUAAGGGAAGAACAAGUACAGUAGUAACUGGCUGUACCUUGACGGUACCUUAUUAGAAAGCCACGGCUAACUACGUGCCAGCAGCCGCGGUAAUACGUAGGUGGCAAGCGUUGUCCGGAAUUAUUGGGCGUAAAGCGC